GAAAUCAAAAGGGGAAUGCUGUAGAGGCGGAGGGUACCGGAGGAGUUAUUGGGAACUGCCGAAGAGCGCAAGGAGGAGACGAGGAGACGGGGAGAUAAGGAGGCGCUGUCGUUUCUUAGAUAUAUAUGGCAGGCAACCAUCUGAGCAAGAACAGGAUUUUUGGUUUCUGCUUUCACCCGUGCGGUUGACAUGCAGGUCCCACCUGUGAUUUGGAUCUUUAACCGAGCACUGAAAAUUGUGGAUUUUAAUUUCAUGAGGCACUAGAUUGUUGAUAGUGUU
rnacentral:lncRNA from 1 species